GGGUUAAAUCUGUAAAUCUGUAGACAGGAAGGGGUCUGAGGUAUUAGAUGAGUUUGUGUUGUUUGACUUUGAGCUGCAUUCAAGUUACACCUCCUCCGGUUUUAGUGGUACUGUGUGUGUGUUUGUGUCUCAUUGUGAGAGUGUGUAAGAUUGAGUGUGAGAAUUUGUCGGUUUGAGGUUUGUUUUGUAAAGAGAAAUAAAAUGAAGCAAAAAGAAAAGCUUGUUCGAUAUUUAGCAUUUUAUUUUCAAAAGAUUCAGCAACAUGAAGUCUCCAAGAGAGAAAACCACAAAGUGUGUGUGUGAGUGUAAGUGUGUUUUUUUUUAAUUUUUUACAAAAUUCCUUGACAUAAAUUAAGCUUUUAAAUUUAAAAAUGUGGUUAAUUCACUAGAAAUGGCAAAUAUCAUAUACAACCUUAAAUCCGUAAUUUUAGGUUUUGUAAUAAUAUUUUUAAAAUAUGAUUGAAGGUUAUUUUUCAGCUUUUUUCCUCAUUUUUAAAUUUAUGCAGGAGUCUCACUUUGAACUCUGAAAAUGUAGUUUAUUAAAUUGGACAAAACUUCAAUUACACUCUCUAAUAGAGGACGGUACUUUGACUAGAAUGACUCACUUUGACUUCUGAGCAAGUGUGUGUGUGUGUGUGUGUAUGUGUGUGUUUCGGUGUGUGUGUGCAUGUGUGAGUGUAUAUGUGUGUGUGGUAAUGUGGUUAAAUAUUUAUUUAUAUUUUGUGUUGGUGUAUGUAAUUCAAAAUGAAAAGAGGAAAAUGUAUUUUGGUUAAAAUCAUUGAUUUUAUUUUAAAAACAGAUAUGAUUUUUUUUCUUUAAUGCUUUGAUGUUUUUAAUCUGCAACCAUUGUGAAGCUUUUACAUUUUAUUUUUAGAAACUAGAAUUAUGUCACAUUCAAAAAACAUUAAUUAAAAAUAAAAAAUCUACAAAAAUGUUGAACAAAAAGCUAACUGAAUUUAUUAUUCUAAUGAAGCACAGUAAUUUAUUCCCUCUGGUAAUUUAUGAAGCUGUUUUCCUCAGCUUCAUCCACACACACGAGUGAUUUUGGUGAUGAAGUUAUUGGGGUCUAAAAUCAGCUGCAGUGUUUGGAGCUGUGAUCCCUCUGUCACGUGUCCUAUCAGCCCUAAUGAUUCACUCAAGGAACUGCUGCCUGGCAGGUUUAUGACCUUAAGGCUACAUGGAUACAUUGGUGUGUGUGUGUGUGUGUGUGUGUGUGUGUGUGUGUGUGUGUGUGUGUGUGUGUGUGUGUGUGUGUGUGAGUGUGAGUGUGUGUGAUUGUUUUGUGAUUAUAUAUUUGCACAGCAUUUUUUUAUGAAGACCUGACUGUGUGUGUGUAUCUACAACUACAGUGACAUGCUUUUUUCCUCUCUUAUUUGCAGGGCUCGUUGUUUUCAGUUCAGCUCAAGCCUGGAAGUCAAGGUAAAGUGCAAUAUUCUGUCUUUUAAAAUGUUCUUGUCUUACAUAUUUACUUCACUCUGUGUGUGCGGGAUCCUGUGUGUGUUUGCGUGUGUGUUUGUGUGAAAGAAUGCCACCACACUGUGAUUUCGGGCAGGUCUGCUGCAGGGAUUAUGAAUCCUCCGGUUUCCUCCCCUGCAGCCUGCGUACACACAACGCAAUUUAUACAGUUUGUCAUGAGUUUAUUGAACACAGUCCGGCCCACAUUGUUCCCAGCACACAGCAGUGACUGUAGCAGUGAGCGUUGUGUCCCAUCAAAACCCACUCUGGAGCAUUGUGUGUGUCAUGUCAUCUGAAUCAGUAAGUCUGCGGUGCGGCUCACUGAUAAUCUCCUCAAAGAAAAUUAGUCGGGGAAAAAUGGGAAAAGAAAAGCCAUCAGCCUAAAGGUCAAAUGAAGAUUAGAGGGAAACAGUACACGAGGGCACACCGGCUGGCACCCGGAACUGCACAAAGGCCUCAUUGUGGCAGGAGCCCUGGGCUCUCCUCACACUCUCCUAGUGUUCGUGGGGAGUCAUGACACCUGUUGGUGACUUUGGUCAACUGCAGGAGAAGUGACCUGACGCCUCUAAAGCCUUUAUUUUGAUUUAAAAGAAUUCCUAAACCCCCAACUGUCCCUCAUAAUUUUAGAUGCAUUACAAUGCAGUAGAGACAAAUACUGGACAACAAAAAAAGAGUGUGAUUCCAUUCAAAUGAUUAAAAGAAAGUAGAAAGAAAAGUACAUGCCUUUUAUCGUACUGAUCCUGAUUCAGCAGCCGUAGUCCACUCCAACAGGCAUAUAGGGUCCGCUCUCCUCACUCACUACAGUGGUUAUUGUCAAAUAACUUAAAGUUUUGCUCCUGAUAGUUUAACACAGUUUAAGGGUUUGUUGAGUUGUGUGUCAAAAAUGUUCUUGGAAAGUUUUGCUGCAGGGUGUUUUACUUCUAUUUAAAAAAAAAAAAACUACUAUGACGUGUUUGACAGACUGAAGACGACAAUCUUUUCAGGUAACUGCUGUAGAAAAAAACAGAGAUAUGCAACUAAAGACACAAGGUUUAUUCAUCAGUCUGCAGUCUAAAUAUGAAUUCAACACUUGGGUAUUUUCAAUUCUGUGCUGUUGUUUAGGCUUUAAAAACAGCAAAUUGCAAAAACAAAUUUCCCCUCUGAUAUUUCUGCCUCUUUUAGGACAUAAUGUUGUAUCACAACAAUCACAGUGAUGACAAAUUACUUUCACAUUUAUAUUAUUUUUAAUGUAUUUAAUUUAAAUAAAUAAAUGUCCAUAAACGGGUUCCUUGUGGAUGACCCAGACAUUAAGCCAGCGACUUUUAGAGAGUGUUUUUCAGAAAGAAUUGAAAAAGUUCAUGUUGAGGUCUCUGAAUUUGUCAGACCACAACAUUUUCAGUUUUGUCUGUAUUAAAAUUGAUACUUGCGUCACUCACAUCCUGUUAUGACGCUGACAGAAAUCUCAGAGACCAGCAGAGGUAACAGUAAAAUAUAUCCUCUCCAAAUGGCCUAAAUCUGCCCUUCAAGUAAAAGAGCUGCUCCUGUGUAAACCUGAUAACCGGCUGUACACACAUCAGCAGUGUAAGCAAAGAGUGCUCUGCUGUAUACCUCACAGGCCUGGACAUUAAAUAGCUCCUGUGAAGAUUUGUGUGGCAUUUAUGGGAAAACCAGCCGGCAAUAAAAUAGCCGCAAACUGGUGCGUUCCUGCGUGUGAGGAGCUAAAGCUGUGACUCACUUUUAUAAGUCGGACCUCACCUCUCAACCUCAGGUCCUCCCUGUCGCUCCCCAGCUUAAGGGGAAACCGCAGCCUCUCCUGUCUGACUCAGGAAACUCCCUGAAACAACCACAACCUGUCUUGUUUGACCUCUCAGCCACACACGUAGCGAAAUGUAUGCGCAUUUGCAUAAAGAUUUCCUGUGACACACAAAUAAGCUGCGGGCGAAGAUUGAGGGUGAAAAUUAAACAGAAUAGUUUUAGGUUAAUGGUGCAGUUUAUCACUUGUUACCUAAGCCAGCAGGUAACAGCACAGUCCCCCCUGCUGAUUGCCAAACAAGAUCCUCAUAAAUAAUCUAGAUAGAAGACGCUCUCACUCUCUCUGUGUUCAUGUGCAUGCAUACAAACUCCUGCAUUUAUAUGCAGGUGUUGAAAACAAACAGGCACAGAUUCGACUUUUCGUGCUUUACUUUCUGCUACACUUAUGUGCAGUUUUAUGUGCACAGGGGAGCACUGUCAGUAUGUGUAGGACAAGAGGUGAAAGUGUGACCUUUUGACUUGAAGUCGCAGCUCACUCCUUCUUCUCGUUUGUCUCCAUCAGGAUGAGGAAACCUGAGAGGACGAGAGCUGUUACAUGGCACAGACCUGCUGAGAGGAGCUGACUUAAUAGACAUGAAUGACCAGUAAGUAAAGAAAGGGCAUUUUUGGAUUUACAAAAAAUUCAAGCAUAAAGGUAUGAUCGUCUUUGACACACAUUUAGCUAGCUUAUCCUGCUCUGUCUCACAUCAGAUAUUGAUCUUAAAUCAAAGAACAAACAAUCAAAACACAGAAAAACAGUAAAGCAGUGAAAUUCAUCUGUAUGUUAGCAUGGAUACGAUACAUCCUCACAAGUUAAAACAAGUUUAGACUCUAUUUUCUAUCCUCUCUAAAUAGUAUUAAAGUCCUUUACACCUGAGUGUGUGUUUGUAAAAACGUAAAUUAUUGAAUUACAAUUCAAACAAUUGAAAUACAGUGGAUACAUUAGCAUUAGCAUGCUAAAGCAAUGGUAACCUUUAGUUCCUUGUGCAGAUUCAUUUGACACAUCAGUACUUCAUUAAAAAGUUUGAUUAUCUCAUGUCCAAAGGAUUUUAUUUGGACUUGAAACAACUGAAAUAUGAAAUUUCGCACAUUUAAAGUGUGUUUUUAGUUUUUCUUACAGCAGGUGGACCGUCAACAACAUGCUGGAGAAAAACUGUCCUUUGGGGUGAGGUAGUAGGUUGUAUAGUUUUAGGGUCAUUCCCAAGCUGUCAGAUGACUAUACAACUUACUGUCUUUCCUGAAGCGACUGUGAUGGCAUCAUCAUCAUCAUCGUCGUCGUCAUCAUCACAGAAGAAAAUAAACCUCCUCGCUCCAAAUCCUGAUCUCAACGGU
rnacentral:lncRNA from 1 species